CCUACGGGGGGCAGCAGUGAGGAAUAUUGGUCAAUGGGCGGGAGCCUGAACCAGCCAAGCCGCGUGAGGGAAGAAGGUACAGCGUAUCGUAAACUUCUUUUGCCAGGGAACAAAGGCGGGGACUAGUCCCCGGAUGAGGGUACCUGAAGAAAAAGCAUCGGCUAACUCCGUGCCAGCAGCCGCGGUAAUACGGGGGAUGCGAGGGUUUGCCGGUUUUAUUGGGUUGAAAGGGUGCUCAGGCGGCCUGUAAAGUGGGCGGGAAAAGCCCGGGGCUCAACCCCGGCGAGCCGUUGAAACUGGGGGGCGGGAGUUGGAGAGAAGUACGCGGAAUGCGCGGUGUAGCGGUGAAAUGCUUAGAUAUCGCGCAGAACCCCGAUUGCGAAGGCAGCGUACCGGCUCCACACUGACGCUGAGGCACGAAAGCGUGGGUAUCGAACAGGAUUAGAUACCCCAGUAGUC
rnacentral:rRNA from 1 species